rnacentral:rRNA from 1 species
AUUGAACGCUGGCGGCAUGCUUUACACAUGCAAGUCGAACGGUAACAGGUUAAGCUGACGAGUGGCCAACGGGUGAGUAAUGCAUCGGAACGUGCCCGGUCGUGGGGGAUAACGCAGCGAAAGCUGCGCUAAUACCGCAUACGAUCUGAGGAUGAAAGCGGGGGACCGUAAGGCCUCGCGCGAUCGGAGCGGCCGAUGUCAGAUUAGGUAGUUGGUGGGGUAAAGGCUCACCAAGCCGACGAUCUGUAGCUGGUCUGAGAGGACGACCAGCCACACUGGGACUGAGACACGGCCCAGACUCCUACGGGAGGCAGCAGUGGGGAAUUUUGGACAAUGGGCGCAAGCCUGAUCCAGCAAUGCCGCGUGCAGGUAGAAGGCCUUCGGGUUGUAAACUGCUUUUGUACGGAGCGAAAAGGCUCUCUCUAAUACAGGGGGCUCAUGACGGUACCGUAAGAAUAAGCACCGGCUAACUACGUGCCAGCCGCCGCGGUAA